CUCCUCCCGCCGCCCCCCCCCACUCCGGUGGCUCAUAAAAGCCCCGAGGCAGAGGCAGGGCAGCUUUCCCAGCCCCUCUGCUUGCAAAGGUGACCCAGGGACAGGAGGAUACAAUCCUGUCUCUUUUCUGAGAAAUCCUAACACAGAGGUCUCUGAAGAACAGGGGAUUCAGGGUACCAACAAAAGCCCAGAGCUGAGAGCAGACAGGAGUGCACAAAGGCAGACUGUGUUGGAUGGGAAAUGAAUACCGUUCGGGUGCAGAGACAUGACUACACGCAAACUAUGCUGAAGACCGAAAUCAACUGACAUGUUCACUCUGGAGGAAUCCCCCAGAGUACCAGCAGAAUGCAUUAACAGUGCACUUCUCCAGUGAGCUGUGAUGGGAAGAGCACAGAGCAAAAAAGAAGGUAAAGUAGUUAAAAACAACUUGUAUUUUUAGACCCCAGUCUCCCACAGAAAUCUUUGGAGAUGCUGAGCUCUCCACUCCUGAAAAUUGGGCCUCUUAUUUGAAAGCAGAAAUAAUGUUUUAGAAGCCCAGCUGAGACUCCUGGUUUUUUUAAAACUGUCCAUAAUAUUUUUCUCUAGACCAAUUUGCUGUCCUGAUAAUUAAGCUAGCUAAUGGCUGGGGUUUUUUUCCUUCAUCAGCAGUUUUGUUUUUUGUUAACACAAGCAGAGAGAACAUGAAGAAACAAUCUCUCGAAGGAUACAGACUGACAGCAAUAUUGCCAUCUGACUAAAAAGAACUCAGACAUACGCAUAAUCCUCAGGAAAAUUCAUCUCCACCCUCCCAACAGACCCUGGUGAGAGCCCUUGAAGUGGUAAUUAAAGUCUAUUGAGUGGCAACUGCACCUGUUUAGAGAGGAGAGUGCGGGUAAGAGGUGCACAAAGGGAGAUGAGCAGCACGGAGAGGGAGCAUGUGAGAGACGAGCUGCUGGAGGUGGGGAAGAAGGGAAGUGGAAAGAAGAAAAAAAAAAGUGUUUGUUGGAGAAGUCAAUCCAAUAAGAUGUGCAUUUCCUAUUCUUCCCUUUUUUUGCUUUCUGCACCCCUUCACACACACAGCCAACUUCUACCCCACUCUCACACCCACUGAUGGAAACUCCAGGGGGUUUUCCCCAGCCAGCCUGAGCCCUGGACCAGCUGCUCUUCUGGUGUAAAUCAACAUAGUUUCACUAAAGUCCUUGCGGACUUAAAAUCAGCUAGUGCUCAUUUACGCCAGCUGAAGAUCUGUCCCAGUGACGCUCAUUAACAGUCACUGGGCUCUUCAGGCUGGCAGCCAGGACAUGCCAGUUCUUGCCUUUUUUCCCUAGAAGGGAGCACAUCCCUUUGUGUUGCCUUUAUCACUCCAGUGCAAAUCCUACAGCAUCUGGGAGGAGUAAAUCAGAGAUGUUUCUAGAUUUCGGCAGACGUGUCUGAGAGCAGAGUCUAGGCAGAAACUGAGGGAAAUGGAAGAAACUAGAGAGGUGCAAUGCCGUGUUACCAGUAAGGCUGCUGGUUUUGCAUACAUGCAUGGCUCCCAAACGUUCUGACCCAGUGUCACCUCAAAUGUCCCUGGGGUCUAUAGCUGAAGCCACGCAAAAAUGAAUUUAUUCAUAAAUACUACUGGUAGCUGUGAAUUUUUCCAUGCCCUUAGCAGACCACCACUGACCUAAGGACCACAACUGGGGAACCACUGGUGCAUCCAGGGAACUGAUACUUUGCAGCCAAGCUUGAGGGCCAAAUUCUGUGGUACCACAGGAUUAAGGCACUGCUGCUAGCUUCAGUAGACCAGUGCUGACUUGUGCCACUAGAUGAUUGCACAUCAGUUUGCUAACGGCACAAACCAGCAGAUUCAGUGGUAAUACAAUGUGGAAAGAAGGACAUACAAAGCAGUAGAGGAAAAUCGGGAAAUCCUCCAGUGUUUGAGGAGGAGAGUAAGAAAAAGAGGACAUUCUUUGGUAUAGAAAUCUGGACUGCCCUAGCAACCAGGGAGCCAGAGACCAGCGCUGCAUAGCGAUCUAGAUGCAUGGUCUGGGGAAAUUGUCAUCCUGAGACCCACGGAUUGAUAGCAGAAAUUCUGGCUCCUUCUGCCAUAAUCCCAACUUAAUCUGUGAUGCUAGUAAACAGGGAUUCAUGCUGUUUGCCCUAUUGGGCAUUUCAGAUGAGGCUAUAAAAACUUAGCACAUCGCCUUUGCAUAAUUAGCCAAAGACCCUGGCAAUAGCUUUUUUUUGUAGAAGUAAACAAUCAUCCCUUACAUUUGACAUAUGCACUGCUGAAGCCUACUCAGUUAACUCCCUUUAUCCAACAUAAAAAUGCCUUUCUUUCUGUGGUACUAUGCAUUUGCAAAGGCGCUACAGUAAUAUGAACUAUCCCUUGUCACUGCAAUUCUAUAUGUGCCCCAGCAAUCAACUGGACUAAACGAGGAUUCCUGGGGUGAGAACAGAAGAGGAAAGAGGUUCAUCCUGAGAGCACCCUGAGGCUGAGCUGAGCAAAUGAUUCAGGCAGAAUAAUUUGACUGAUGUUUGCAAAAUUUUCUCUAUCACUGGACCUGAUGGCAGCUAGUCCCCUGUGAAUCCCUGACAUUCCUACUCUGCAUGCUGCCUGGGAUGGCUGAAAUAAACCACAGGACCUUUCUUUCCUGUUCCCCAAUUGUCAGAGCACGCAACAAUUCUGGUGUAAAUGUUGCAUUUGCUUUCUACAAAUACUAUUAGCAAUGCCUCUGUAGCAUGCUCUCCCGAUAGCUGUGCCAGGAACUGCCUCCUUGUGAAUGAAGAUAGAAAGGAACACGCAUUCAGCAAAAGCCAAUUCCUUUGGCUGUUAUGGGUGGCAUUUGCAAUUAGUUGGGUAUCUGAUCCAACCAUUCGGCUACAGUUAACGGAGACAGACAGCUAUCUCUGGACAACAAGUCAACCUACCAGUCAAGCCCUGUUUUAGGGUGAGAUUAAUUUUUGCACUGACUGUAAAGGGAGCCUACAUGACUCACUUAACACUAAAAGCCUGAUAAUAGGCUAAAUUUACAUGAGGAGAAUCAUACCUAAAAUACCUUGCUUGCCUCCUAAAUUCCAGUCUUGUGUAUUAACAAAAUCAUUGGGUAGAUGGAUACCAUGUGAUGUAUUGCCUCAUUUCUAUCUCUUUGCUCCCAAACACUCCUCUCAUUUUUUCCUUUCAGUCCUCCUGUUCCUCUGCCUUUUUCUCUUUCCACCUUCUCUCUGAUUGCUGAGCAGCUUUUUGACUUUUCCAUCAAUAUGUCUAAAGAGCAUUUGAACCACUCUGUUCCCCUCUUCUCUCCUCCCUCCUGUUCCAAGUCAGGCAAGCUCAUCGAUCAGAGGAGCUCAGGAAAUAUCUGGUGUUUUGUUGUCAGGAUGAUAAUAACAUUGCAGUUGUGAAUGGGCUGCUGCAGGCCUGAUCAUGGACACCUGCAGGGUUUGUUUAAUUGCAUUUAAUGACAAAUCCUAUACAGAGGAGCAUUGCCAGAGAGAUUUAUUAUCCGCCAAAGAGGCAAAGCACAACAGCUCAAAAUAUAAUUUGCACUGAGCAUUUUUCCCCCUGCCUCUCUUUAAACCAUUGUAAUAAAUAACAAAUAGGGUAAAGUGGGCAACACCAGUCUGAGAAGGAGGUGGGGGUAGAGGACAGAGAUUGAAACCAAAGGAAAUAACAGCAAUAAGGCCACACUAUUCUUUCUACCAUCCCUGUGGUCUGGUAUAUAGGAAAUACUGUUUGUUUAAUUUACAGCCUGGAAGUGCAGCUGGGGAUCUCUCGGUGAUGAGCCAGCCUCUUCUAAGAUAGCUGGAGGCUAAGCUCUUGAGUCCCCACUCCUAACCAGGCUUUUUUUCACCAUGUUUUGUAGCUAAGUUUAGAUCUUAGCUAUAUAAACAAUUACAAAGAAACUACAGCAACCUCUCAGUGCUAUGGGGUUCAUCUGCCACCAUUACAAGGAGCCAUAAGCUUCCACGUUGUUGAAAUCUCUGGGACAAAUUAGAAGUGGCAGAUCCCAUCCUGAAAAAUAUCACAAUGAGAAAUAUGGCCCUAUGGAGACAGAUCUCGCUAUUUGAAGUCUAGACAAAAGUCUCGCACACUUCUGAGCCUGGAAGUUAUGUUUUCUACUAAAUACCUUGCUCCAAAAAGGGAAUGCAUGUGUGUAAAAACAGCAGAGGACCUCACCCCUUGUUCAAGCUGAGCAGUUACUUCUAUCUUAUUACAUGAUUUUCUAGUGAUGAUUUGUGGCAAAUCCCUUCCUGGACCUGGUGUAUCACUGUGCCGGGCUGCAUUGUUCCAGAACAAGGACUGUAAAGUGUUCUUGCCACCUGAAAUUACAGUCUAGGUUAGCACGUCCCAAACUAUCUUCUCUCUCUCAGGUUCAUUCAUCUUUACAAUUCAUUGUCUCUUCUCAUUCUCCUUGCAGAAUACUGAAUUGUCCUGGGCAGCUUACUUCUAAAAAUUGUCUGCCUCCCAAAGCGUUUUCAUCUGAGAACACUCUGGUAGGGCACAGAGGAAAAUACACAACAGUUUAGAGGAAAUGCCUUAGUUCAAGAAAUCCAAGCCCAGGCCAGGCACAGACAGGUAUCAGAGUAAAGCUGUAUUCAGUCUGAGCAAGGAGUACAUGCUCAUCACUGGUCCACUUUAUAUUCAGAUUAAAUUUUGCACUUUAAACAGUGCACCCCAGGAAGUUUGGGGUGACAGCGAUCUUGUACAAGAAAAUAUCACCCUUCUGCAGUGUUUGGUCUCUAUUUUAAUGUAGGUAGCAAUCAGCAGUUGUCAAUGUCAUUAAACAAACACAGUGUAGGGUAACACCUGGACCGCAGUUUUAUCUGAUUUCCUGGACAAUGGCAGUAUCGCUAAUACCCCCUGUUAAAUAAGACCACCUGGACAUCUCCUGGUAUCAGCUCUAGCUAUCACAAACACACUUGCUACCUAGGCUGGCACAAUGGUCUGUUA